rnacentral:rRNA from 1 species
GACGAACGCUGGCGGCGUGCUUAACACAUGCAAGUCGAACGGUGAAGGGAUCAGCUUGCUGGUUCUGGAUGAGUGGCGAACGGGUGAGUAACACGUGAGUAACCUGCCCCCUUCUUCUGGAUAACCGCAUGAAAGUGUGGCUAAUACGGGAUAUUCUGCGCCUGCUGCAUGGUGGGUGUGGGAAAGAUAUUGUUUCGGUGGGGGAUGGGCUCGCGGCCUAUCAGCUUGUUGGUGGGGUGAUGGCCUACCAAGGCGGUGACGGGUAGCCGGCCUGAGAGGGUGGACGGUCACACUGGGACUGAGACACGGCCCAGACUCCUACGGGAGGAAGCAGUGGGGAAUAUUGCACAAUGGGCGCAAGCCUGAUGCAGCGACGCCGCGUGAGGGAGGGAGGCCUUCGGGUUGUGAACCUCUUUCGCCAGUGAAGCAGGCCUGUCCCUUGUGGGUGGGUUGACGGUAGCUGGAUAAGAAGCGCCGGCUAACUACGUG